rnacentral:rRNA from 1 species
AUUGAACGCUGGCGGCAGGCCUAACACAUGCAAGUCGAACGGUAACAGGAAGCAGCUUGCUGCUUUGCUGACGAGUGGCGGACGGGUGAGUAAUGUCUGGGAAACUGCCUGAUGGAGGGGGAUAACUACUGGAAACGGUAGCUAAUACCGCAUAAUGUCGCAAGACCAAAGAGCGGGACCUUCGGGGCUCUUGCCCUCGGAUGUGCCCAGAUGGGAUUAGCUAGUAGGUGGGGUAAAGGCUCACCUAGGCGACGAUCCCUAGCUGGUCUGAGAGGAUGACCAGCCACACUGGAACUGAGACACGGUCCAGACUCCUACGGGAGGCAGCAGUGGGGAAUAUUGCACAAUGGGCGCAAGCCUGAUGCAGCCAUGCCGCGUGGAUGAAGAAGGCCUUCGGGUUGUAAAGUACUUUCGGCGGGGAGGAAGGGAGGAAAGUUAAUACCUUGGCGCAUUGACGUUACCCACAGAAGAAGCACCGGCUAACUCCGUG